GGGGUCGACUGGUUUUGACAGCGAGAUUAAUUAAAUGGUAAGCACGUCGUGUAAUGGUAUUGAAACACGUUAAAGGCUAAACCAAAUUUUAAACGGCGAGAAUAACUACGCUUUAGCUGCAUAAUCUGAAUUAUAGUAAGAUUAAGCCUCGGCUCACUAGGUGAGCAAGCUUUAUGUCUCCAGAAAGCCUUGGUUAAUGGCGUUCUAUUUAGAGGCAUCGUAAAUAUUAACUAAGAUUGGGUAGCGCUUUAAUGCCUUUUCGAGAUUUAGAAGCUAAGCUGUAAGUAGGCUGUUUUUUGUCAGCUUACGGUCUAAAACUAAGAAAAAACUAAGCGUGUAGAAAGCUCUUUGGUUACUUGUUUGGACGAGAGUUCGAUUCUCUCCGACUCCACAA
rnacentral:tmRNA from 1 species